UUCCAUGUUUUCUGAAAGGAACUUGUUUGCUUAUUUGUUUAUUUUCCCUUUGGCACACAGUAGAAAGGCUGAAGAAUAAAUGGAGUUGUAGUGCUGGGAUUUUCAUCUUACAAUGCUGAUUUCUCAGGACGCUCUCUAAUGGGAAGGCUGUCCUGCUUCUUUGAGACCUGUCCUCACACCCUGUCACCAGCACCCCAACAAGCCUUUUGGAAUUUAAGGUGGAUUAUUCAAGUUACUCUCUGCUGCAGCUACAGGCCAAGAAACUCCAAGAAGCAAGAGCAACCAUCAGCAACUAAGAAGAGCUGUGGAAGGAGCCCCCUCUAAGUCUUUUGGUGAAUGGCCCUAAGAAUCUCCACUUUAAAGUCAUGGCCUCCAGCACUGUGAGAGAAUAAAUUUCUGCUGCUUGAAGCCUCCUAGUCUGUGUCAAUUUGUUAUGAAAAUCCCCAGAAGCCUCCUACAUCUUCCAUAAGAAC
rnacentral:lncRNA from 1 species